GCGAAGGGAAGCGCUGGAGAGUGUAGGCGAGUACGAGGAAGCGGAAAAAGUGUCUUUUCACAUCGAGAAGUUGCAGGCGUACGAAGAAAUUAACAGACGGGAGCAGCUCAGGACGCUUCACUUGUUACAGCGUCUGUGCGUUGACGACUCGCACAAGGAAGAAUGCGUGAAAUUCCAGUAUGCAUGGGUAGGCGUUCGACGUCACGGCCGCUCUCCGCUCUUGAAACACAUGCCCUGGGAGCGGCCUUAAGAAGUAGAGAUGCGACGUCACCUCUUCUCACCCUCCUGGCCACGGAGCCGAUGGCCACGUUCCACUGUUUCAGAAACGUUUUCUGCGCCCUCUCUUAAGAAGGGCGUCGAGAGUUUUUUUCGGUUGACUCGCGCAGGGAAGGGAACUACUUUUUAAGUGGGCGGCGGUGGUAUAUAGUCUUCAAGGGCCCCAGAGUUCUCGAAGAACCUCUCCAGAAAACGGGUACUCACCUAAGGAACUCAGGAAGGACGUCUUCUUUGGAGUCUCACUAUGGUGCUUUCAGCAGCGUUGCACGCGUCGUUACGUGGUGAAGUCGGCCUUACUCAACAGCAUCCGCGUCUUUCCGUAAACAGCCCGGGAUACGUUCCUCACGAAUUCCCCAGGUGUUCGUCACGUGCUGCGGAUGCCAGUCUGUCCGGUGUCAAACACUGGAGAAACGAGUAGCUCUGAAACCACGCAUGUGUGGACGCGUCUUUCCCUCUUCCGUUCAGGAAAGGAACGUACGGACCUUCGAAGAGAACGCC
rnacentral:lncRNA from 1 species